GACGAACGCUGGCGGCGUGCUUAACACAUGCAGGUCGAACGGUAAGGCCCUUCGGGGUACACGAGUGGCGAACGGGUGAGUAACACGUGGGUGAUCUGCCCUGCACUUCGGGAUAAGCCUGGGAAACUGGGUCUAAUACCGGAUAGGACCACUGCCUGCAUGGGUGGUGGUGGAAAGCUUUUGCGGUGUGGGAUGGGCCCGCGGCCUAUCAGCUUGUUGGUGGGGUGAUGGCCUACCAAGGCGACGACGGGUAGCCGGCCUGGGAGGGUGACCGGCCACACUGGGAAGGAGAUACGGCCCAGACUCCUACGGGAGGCAGCAGUGGGGAAUAUUGCACAAUGGGCGCAAGCCUGAUGCAGCGACGCCGCGUGAGGGAUGACGGCCUUCGGGUUGUAAACCUCUUUCAGCACCGACGAAGCGCAAGUGACGGUAGGUGCAGAAGAAGGACCGGCCAACUACGUGCCAGCAGCCGCCGUAA
rnacentral:rRNA from 1 species